UUUUGUUUUCUCUUUAAUUUGCUUUCUGGUGCUAAAUGGUGUAUCAGAUGAGACAUAGGCCACAGAUGACCAAACAUGCUCUUUGCAAAUACUGUAUUAUCCAACUUUAACUAUCAAAAAUGGAACUGUAGAAGAGGCAUGUUUAACUGGUUAAAACUGAAAAUGAUUUUAGUACGAGAAAGUCAAUCUAAGUACAGAGGAAUAAAGGUGCCGUGUAGACAGUUUGUGUUCUUUUUGUCCAAGUUUUUCAAACAUAGGUCAUUUUCUCUCAGUGCUCCGUUAUGUUCUCUUGAACGUGGCAUUUCAAGAGCAGGUCUCUGAGUUAGUUUUUACUGCAGCUUUCCGUAAAGACUUCUGCUGGACAACAACAUUUCAUCUUUUUGAAAGCUGGAAUCAUGUUUGUGGAGACCUCCUUCAAUUAAAUGACAUAAUUCUGUUAAGAGUAAGAUUGUGUCCACUUUAAAAUAGAUUUUGCUCUUUGGUCUAUUGUAUAUACUGAAAGUAUAAGAAAAUAAAAGCAAUUCAGACAGUUUAGGGCACAAGAAGAGUUUCUCUUUUGCACCUCAGUGUCCUCCCAUAGGCAAAACAGUCUUCUCUAAGGCUGGUUGGGAUGAUACUCUUCAUUGUAGCAGACUCUUCGGAUUGAAACAUGUAGGUAACAGCAAGUCCAGCAGUGGUGUAUAACGCAGAUGAAACGUUAACCAUGAACUUGUUUGUAUUGCUAAUGCCCAAGCAUAUCUCUUUUUCUGUAUUCCUUAGUCCAGUGAUCCUUAGAAUGGUAGAACAAACUUUAGCUCAUAAUGUAGAGGAAUUAUGCUGUCACUCAUGAGAUACAGAGAAACAGACAGUUGAGUUGAUGACAUAUAACGGAUGAUGAUCAACAGCAGUGAAACUUGACUAAGUUAAGUAGCUCACAGAGAGCCUAAACCACUCCUACGAGGAUUCUGUGUUGCUGCAUUUGUCAGGAGACCUGUAAAUCAAUAAGAACAAAUGAGCUGCAAUGGCCCACAGCUACAAGCAACAGCAUAAAGUGCUGAUGGACUGUGUUCAGUGUUUCAUAGUGUGCUUCUCUACCAUACUGGUCCCAGGAUGAAGAGAGAAUUCAGCAAUCCUGCUGAUUCUCCUGAGACCAUUGUAACUGGCUUAUUUCCCAGACAUCUCUGUAAAGGAUAUUUGGCUCAUAGAAAAUAUAACAUAUAGUAUCCUAAAGUGAAAAGUGAGGCAGAACAAUUCUGCCUGGUAAGUUUGUGAGUUAAGGGAAAGAAGUGUUGUAAUCUGA